rnacentral:lncRNA from 1 species
CAUCCGGCGUGUCUCUAUGUUUUUUUAUCAAGUCUCCUUCCUCUGGGUCUUAAACUUUUAUUUGGAGUUUUCCAUAUCAUCAUAUUCUACGCUAAAUUAUUCCUUGAGUUCAUCUUUCAUCAGGCCGACCUAUUAGAACUUCUCGGGAUUUUUUUUCUACCUUUUUUUUUGGAAUUCUUUCUCGCCUUUCUAUGAGCAUAAUCUAUUUUUUUAUAUGUUCUAAAAUAUCUUCCAUGAGCUUAUUUUAUUAAGCUUCCUCGGUGUUCAAUCUAUCUAUAAAAAUUAUCCCAAAUUUCUUUUGAGGCAUCACAGUAUUUUUCUCAUGGCUUAAAUACUAAUUCUUGAUUUUUCUAGGAUUAUUUUUAGACAUGAUCAAGGUUUACCAUUUUCUCUCUAUCGUUGACACUUAUCAUUCUUUUCCUUUUAUUUAUUUCUCCUUUUUGUUCCUUGGGCAAAUGUGCUUUGAUGUGAUGACAAUUUAGGAAGCCAGUAACCAGGCCAAUUCCAUCUCCCUGCAUUCACGAGUCCAACUCGUAAUCAGUCUUGCUGCCUGGCCCCUUUCCUUUGUUAUCUGCUCGCCAGGCCCCAAGGUUACCUCUUGUUUAUUACCUUGUGGCCUGCAAGGAAACUUGAACCCACGUCAAGCCCUAACUGACAUACACAUCCGCCGCCGCCGCGGCUAGCCUCCAUGCUCGGCUCCUACGCCAACGCAACCAUCGCCCGAUCUCGCUGAAACCAUGAAGGCCGGAGGAAUCGUCCAGUUGACCAUGUCCUGCCAAUGCAACCUAGAUGUAGUUGACCACAAUUAUCGAUCGCAUAUACACGCAUGGCGCCGACGUGAAGCAGCUCGGAGGUUUAUCCCGGCUUGCCUCCGUGAUCCCGGUGGCGUGUGCUGUUCGUCUCCAUCCAGGCCAUGCAAAAUCCACUUUUCAAUCUCUACUAAGCACCACGACGCCUGUAUCUACUGAAGCAAGCUGCCAGGUCUUCCGUACAACCUUUGUCAAUGUUCGAUCUUGGAAUAUGUGAGCCACUUAGCAUCCUAUGAAGGUACAUGUCUUAUGUAUCUGACUCGAAUUGCUCUUUCUUGCCUAUUGUAUCUCCUUCCUGCUAGUUCUCACGUGCCUUUGAUUCAGUUCUUCCCAUCAGGAAAAACUAGCAUCUGUGCCUGUUGCCUGACCAAGCUGCUGGCCUGCUCUCAAAACAAUAGCACUUUGGCUGCCAUCAACCUUGUGGUGUCAAGAGCUCUCUGAUACUUUGCUGUAAGACAAAUCUACAAAGGCCAUCACUCGUCACGUGCUAAGGUUUCUUCUGUUUCAUCAUCUUAAAUCCUUUCAAGUACAUUGAGGUUGGGUGAUGUAAUUAACGUGUUUUUGCCGUCGAUCAUGUGAUAUGUUUGUAAAUUUUAUAAACAAUAUAUUUAAUUUAAUUAAUAUUUGCGUGCAUCUGGCUUAAGAAUUAAAAACAAUAUAACUUUAGAGUCCACCUUUUAUAUGUCAAGUGUUAACUUGGUUAAUGAAAAAAAUAAUAUGUAUUUAAUUUGUAACCUGCUUAGUCUAAACACGUUUCAAACAUAAAACUAGUUCCCUAAUUAAAAGCCCUAUAGGUAUAUACUUCGCUAUUUUAUUAUGCUUUUAAACUAUGAGUUUGCUUAGUUGAGACACCUAUAUUAAAUUCAUGCAGAAGCUCAUAUGUUAAUGUAUUCUUUUGCUAAAUGAAGUUUAACUUGCUUAAAGUAUACCAAUAAUGUUUAUAAAUAAAACAUGAUGAAUAAUUUUAAGCCUGACUUCCAAUUUAAUAUAUGAUUACUGGUCUGGAUUAAUAUUAUUCACAUGAUUUUGGUACUUAAAAUAAAUUAAGCAUGUAGGCUUUUAUAAUAUAAACUCUCGGUAGUCGUUUUAGUGUUUCAUGUGUUCUCGUGACCAUGUCUUCUCUUGGGUGGUGUAUUGUUCUUAGUUGCUUUUAUUUGUUGUUUGUAUGUUUGCCUUUGUGUGGUGCUUGCUACGAGUAGACGAGAUCCGUUUAUGGGUGCUGAAGACAGAAGGUGAUGGCCAAAAGCUGAUGAUGUGAGAAUUGAGCAAGUGUUUAAGGCAAGUAUAACUUGGGACCAUCCUUGUUACCUAUUCACUUAUAACUACAUAUAUAUAUCAUAUGCAUGCUAUCACCUUGUCGACCUUAGCAAAAUCAUAGAUGAUUGUUACCUGUAUUCCUUGCUACCUACUUGAUAUGCAUUUGGUAUAGAUGUGCUAGUGCUUGAUAUAAUCCAUGAUCUUGUAAGAUGAUUAAUAGCUAUGCAAUGAACAUAAAAGAAUGACAAAUAACUAUAUGAGAUCUUGUCUGUAAGUGAUCACCGGGACAACAGUGCAACCAUGAGGGCUAUAAUGGCUCUGGCUUUAGCUCAGUAUGAAGCACUUUUCUAGCUGGUUAGAGGUUACCCGAAAGGGCGGAGGGGCUGAACCGUUUUGGGUAUAGUGUGGCCUCUGUCUGUAUGAGUAUAGGCUGCGAGUCAUUGUGCCAUCGGAAGGGGGGCUCUAUAUCUGCGCGCAAAGGAAACCUUGCGGCCCUAACUUGUUAGACGAACUUUUGAAAGGCUUCAUAGUGAUCCCUGCCGACCUCCCUAGGAAGGGGGUUAAGAGAUUAGCUACCUCGGGCGAAAGGGUAAAUCAUGACUCAUGGGUAAAGAUGUACAACCUCUGCAGAGUGUAAAACUGGUAUACUAGCAGUGCUCACGGUUAUGAGCGGCCUUGGGGGUUCUUGCUGCGCCGACGAUGAGCUUAUUAAGUUGUUAUGUUCAUUUGAUUAUCGUUUAUGCUAUGGAUUAAUUAUGCUUACACUUGAUCAUGGGAUUAAUGGAUUAUUUAUGCUACCUUGACAAUUGCUAUUUAAUUAUGAAUAUGCUAUCCACUAUUAAAGCUAAUUGCAGUCAAACCAGUGUCAGCUAUUUGAGCCUCAUCAACCCCUGGUUAUACUUGUUGAGUACGAUAUGUGCUCACUCUUGCUAUUUCCCACCACUCCAGUCCACUAGAAAGAGUUGAUUAGAAGGAUGGAGUCAUGAAGGAUGUUCUCAGGAUACAGGAAGUGCUAGGCAUAUGUUACCCCCAGUCAGCCGUCCCUGUGUAGAUUGAGCCUGAAGAUUAGUUACCGUUCCGCGAUACUUUGAUGUAAGUGUUAAUUAUAAGUAUGUUUUCGCUAUAUAGCAUUGUUUCUGAUACUGUUCCUUUCUGUUGUUGUAUGUGUGGACUUCCUGGGCACACAUAUAGCUAGCCUGGUUUUGUUCCUUAAAACCGGGUGUGACAGAGUGGUAUGAGAGCAGUGUUGACUGUAGGACGUAUGCCUAGGUAGCACUAGUCGAUUAGAAAAGUCUAAUUUGCUACAAAACUAUUUUCUUAUCCCUUGACUCUUUGACUUUGAUUAUUUCUCAAUCCUUGUCCUGUUGUAUCUCCUCCUUGAUAGCUUCCUUUGAGCUAUUACUUCUUACCUCCUUGAUUCUUUUUGUCUUUUAUUUACUAAAAUUUUCUGGUCUUACCUUAUUCAAAUUCACGAUGGCCAUUCAUCUUUAUAAUCCACUCUUUAGGAUGCCUACCAGUUGAAUAGAAGGACACAUAGUUUCGAUGAGGUGGUGCAUGUUUAUCUUGCUUGUUGUGUUGCUUGGUGUAUUGUUUAAGUUUGCAACCUCUAGAACAAAGUACUCAAGAUUACUCCAAACAAAGGAUAAUAUAGAAGUUUUUUUUAGAGUCAAGCAAGGCCUUUGUUAAGUGGGGUAGUGUCGGCUACCAUCAUCUAUCUCAAGUUUCAAGACAAGAAGAUAUAAUGAUCAAUCUUAUCCUUCUUGUAUAUCAAAAUUUAUCCUUUCUAUCAUCAAUCUUCAUCUUCUUAUGCUCUUUUGUUAGUCUUUGCCCCUUGAUCGUUUACCUUAUAAUAUAAUGAUCUAAAGGUCAAGUUCAUCCUUUCAAGUCUAUUUUUUUUUGUCAUCGAUCUUUGUGUUUCUUGUGAUCGAUCAUUGUUUUUCUGGUUAACCCUUGUCAGUAUACAAUUAUUUUAUCAACUCUCAUCAUAGAACUCGAAAUAGCCUUAAAGGACCAAUCUUCGUUCUCGUUAUCAAUCCUUGCUAAUUUAUAAUCUUUUACCAUAAAUCUCAUAAAUCUUGAAUCAAAUAAUUGUGAGCACUACAAGAUGUACAUUUAUCUUAUAUAUUAUCUCUUGCUAAUCUUCACUCCUUGUCUUUAAAUCUCAUGAUGUGAAGAUCCGUGAUCAAUCUUUAUCUUUCUUUUUUUUUACCUUCAUUGCUCUUUCUUUCCAACCUAUGUUGAUCAUCAAUCCCUUGAUCUUAUGUCAUAAAUCCCAAUUUAAUCUUGAGAAUCAAACCUUGAAAUCUUUGUCAACUUUUAUUAAUCCUCAAUCCCUAAAUCAUAUCUAGUCAAAAGUCUCAAAACAACCUUAAAUAUCUACUUUAUCAAUAUCUCUAGUCUCUUUGAAUCUCGGGACGAGAUUCCUGUUAAGUGGGGUAGAUUGUCACACCCCAAAAUUUUCAAUUUUGGGUUGUGCAUAGAAAUUACUAAAUAAAUAUAAAAUAAAUUUAAAAUUUCUAUAAGAUUUGCCAAGUUUAGUUGACUUAGUGCAAAUUAGUUAUAGAAAAAAAAGUAAAUUUCCAAAUUGUUCUCAAUUAACUUGACAGACUUUUGCUUGAUGUGAGGUGAUGCUUGCUUAUUGCUUGACUUUGUGUUGUGAGUGGAUAAUGUCUUGGAGAGCGUUUAGUAAGUCGUUGAUCUGCAUCCGGCGUGUCUCUAUGUUUUUUUAUCAAGUCUCCUCCCUCUGGGUCUUAAACUUUUAUUUGGAGUUUUCCAUAUCAUCAUAUUCUACGCUAAAUUAUUCCUUGAGUUCAUCUUUCAUCAGGCCGACCUAUUAGAACUUCUCAGGAUUUUUUUUUCUACCUUUUUUUUUUGGAAUUCUUUCUCGCCUUUCUAUGAGCAUAAUCUAUUUUUUUAUAUGUUCUAAAAUAUCUUCCAUGAGCUUAUUUUAUUAAGCUUCCUCGGUGUUCAAUCUGUCUAUAAAAAUUAUCCCAAAUUUCUUUUGAGGCAUCACAGUAUUUUUCUCAUGGCUUAAAUACUAAUUCUUGAUUUUUCUAGGAUUAUUUUUAGACAUGAUCAAGGUUUACCAUUUUCUCUCUAUCGUUGACACUUAUCAUUCUUUUCCUUUUAUUUAUUUCUCCUUUUUGUUCCUUGGGCAAAUGUGCUUUGAUGUGAUGACAAUUUAGGAAGCCAGUAACCAGGCCAAUUCCAUCUCCCUGCAUUCACGAGUCCAACUCGUAAUCAGUCUUGCUGCCUGGCCCCUUUCCUUUGUUAUCUGCUCGCCAGGCCCCAAGGUUACCUCUUGUUUAUUACCUUGUGGCCUGCAAGGAAACUUGAACCCACGUCAAGCCCUAACUGUCAUACACAUCCGCCGCCGCCGCGGCUAGCCUCCAUGCUCGGCUCCUACGCCAACGCAACCAUCGCCCGAUCUCGCUGAAACCAUGAAGGCCGGAGGAAUCGUCCAGUUGACCAUGUCCUGCCAAUGCAACCUAGAUGUAGUUGACCACAAUUAUCGAUCGCAUAUACACGCAUGGCGCCGACGUGAAGCAGCUCGGAGGUUUAUCCCGGCUUGCCUCCGUGAUCCCGGUGGCGUGUGCUGUUCGUCUCCAUCCAGGCCAUGCAAAAUCCACUUUUCAAUCUCUACUAAGCACCACGACGCCUGUAUCUACUGAAGCAAGCUGCCAGGUCUUCCGUACAACCUUUGUCAAUGUUCGAUCUUGGAAUAUGUGAGCCACUUAGCAUCCUAUGAAGGUACAUGUCUUAUGUAUCUGACUCGAAUUGCUCUUUCUUGCCUAUUGUAUCUCCUUCCUGCUAGUUCUCACGUGCCUUUGAUUCAGUUCUUCCCAUCAGGAAAAACUAGCAUCUGUGCCUGUUGCCUGACCAAGCUGCUGGCCUGCUCUCAAAACAAUAGCACUUUGGCUGCCAUCAACCUUGUGGUGUCAAGAGCUCUCUGAUACUUUGCUGUAAGACAAAUCUACAAAGGCCAUCACUCGUCACGUGCUAAGGUUUCUUCUGUUUCAUCAUCUUAAAUCCUUUCAAGUACAUUGAGGUUGGGUGAUGUAAUUAACGUGUUUUUGCCGUCGAUCAUGUGAUAUGUUUGUAAAUUUUAUAAACAAUAUAUUUAAUUUAAUUAAUAUUUGCGUGCAUCUGGCUUAAGAAUUAAAAACAAUAUAACUUUAGAGUCCACCUUUUAUAUGUCAAGUGUUAACUUGGUUAAUGAAAAAAAUAAUAUGUAUUUAAUUUGUAACCUGCUUAGUCUAAACACGUUUCAAACAUAAAACUAGUUCCCUAAUUAAAAGCCCUAUAGGUAUAUACUUCGCUAUUUUAUUAUGCUUUUAAACUAUGAGUUUGCUUAGUUGAGACACGUAUAUUAAAUUCAUGCAGAAGCUC